UGGGGAAUAUUGCGCAAUGGGCGAAAGCCUGACGCAGCAACGCCGCGUGCGGGAUGACGGCCUUCGGGUUGUAAACCGCUUUCAGCUACGACGAAGUGAAAGUGACGGUAGUAGCAGAAGAAGCGCCGGCUAACUACGUGCCAGCAGCCGCGGUGAUACGUAGGGCGCAAGCGUUGUCCGGAAUUAUUGGGCGUAAAGAGCUCGUAGGCGGUCUGUUGCGUCGGGAGUGAAAACUCAGGGCUUAACCCUG
rnacentral:rRNA from 1 species